rnacentral:lncRNA from 1 species
CAGGCACACGCGCGCGCACCGCCGCUCUCCCUCAGACACACUGGAGGGAAAGGUCAAACUAAAGGCGAGGGAGCCGGGAAGCCGGAGGGAGCCGCUGCCGCCGCUGCCGCCGCCGCCGCCGCGCGCCAUGACGGACGCGGCCGAGGCUGCUUUCUCCCAGCCGCCGCCGCCGCUCUCGCCGCGCCCCCCGCGCCCCCUCCCCCGGCGCUCGCGCGUCCGCGCGCCCCCUCCCCCCGGAGCCCCGGGCGCGCGUCCCGGCGCGGGGCGCGCGCCUGCCUGACCGCGGCGCAGAGGGUGGGGGCCGCGGCGGGCGGGCGGGCGGCCUCCUCGCGCGACCCCCAACCCCCCGCCCGGCCCCUCGGCGACAGCCCGCCAGGAAACCAGAGAUUUUUUGCUCUGAAGGCCUUCAACUGAUGGGAUGUGGCCCACCCACAUUAUCAAGGAUAUUGGGAUGAAUCAGACAGUCCUUCCCUCACUGUGGAAACAGACAAGUAAACAAACAGUUGCCAUAUGAAUUCAAUGCCAUGGUGAAGGCAGCUUAGUGUGUUGUGGGAGCACGGGAUGGGCGUUUCUGAUUGGCCCGGAGCUACGAUCUGUUCCCAGUCUUCUGCUGUUUCCUUCAAGAAGAUUGUCACUGAGCUAACAUCUGUGCCAGUCUUCCUCUACUUUGAAUGUGGAACCCCACCGUAGCAUGGCUUGAUGAGCCAUGUGUAGGUACGUGCCCAGGAUCCAAACCUGCCUACCCUGGGCCAGCAAAGCAGAGCAUGUGAACUUAACCACUGUGCCACUGGGCCCCUAGGGCUUUUUAAUUCAUUGCUCUUUUUUCUUUUGUUUAAUGGUCAUGUGUUUAUAUCUUUGUGUUACAUACUUUCCUGAUUAUAUACUGGGAUCCUUGCUUUGCUGCACUUUGUCACUUAGAAAAAGCUCAACAUGAAAGUUGAAUUGUAGUUAAAUGAAAAUUUGAGUAUUUAUCUUGUUUUAAUUAAUACAAUGAAAUAUUGUAAGUUAUACUGAACUGUCCCCCACCCUGAUAGGAAAAUAUAUGCCUGGAUUUCUUUAAAAACUGUGCAUUUAUGGGGCUGGCCCCGUGGCCGAGUGGUUAAGUUCGCGCGCUCCGCUGCAGGCGGCCCAGUGUUUCGUUAGUUCGAAUCCUGGGCGCGGACAUGGCACUGCUCAUCAAACCACGCUGAGGCAGCGUCCCACAUGCCACAACUAGAAGGACCCACAACAAAGAAUACACAACUAUGUACCGGGGGGCUUUGGGGAGAAAAAGGAAAAAAU